rnacentral:ncRNA from 1 species
UGACCUCGGAUCAGACGUGAUUACCCGCUGAAUUUAAGCAUAUUAUUAAGCGGGAGGAAAAGAAACUAAACAAGGAUUCCCCUAGUAACGGCGACUGGUGAACGGGGGAAGAGCCAACACGAAUCCCUUGGCGCAAGUCAACGGGAAAUGUGGUGUUAAGGUAGCCCUUCGUGUCAGUCUAGGCGUCUCAAGUCCACCUGAUUGUGGCUCAAGCCCAGAGAGGUGUAAGGGCCGUAGAGGACGCUCCGACUGAUUCCUGGGGUUUACUACGAGUCGGCUGUUUUGGGAGAUGCAGGCCAAAGCGGGUGGUAAAACUCCAUCCAAGGCUAAAUACUGGCACGAGUCGAUAGCGGACAAGUACCGUGAGGGAAAGUUGAAAAGAACUUGAAGAGAGAGUUUCAAUAGUACGUGAAAACCGCUUAGAGGCAACGGAUGGCCUGCUCAUACUGGCUGAGGAAUUCAACUGCUGACGUCCGUGGCUGGACGUCAGCUGGCGUUCGAUCUCUCUUUUUGGACUGGGGCGUCGGUUUGGCUAUCAGCUCCGACAUGGUGCACUUUUCCUUGGUGCCUCCGCCACGACCGACGAACACUGCUACUCCGCGGCUGGGGUUGUCAAGGUGACAAACUGCUUCGCAAUUUUGUGUUAUAGACCCCGGCGUCGGGACAUGGUUUGGCCAGGACAGUUCGAGCUUUGCGGACGCCCGUCUCCUUGUGUUUGCGGCUCGCAUGUUGGCUAGCUUUGCUGCGCCGAUUGCUUGCACUGGACAACCAGUACAGUGGACGCGUUGUGUGGUCUUGUCUCUAGUUGGCCUCUGCGCGAGUUUGGCGCCUAUAGGUCUGUGGGUACUUGUGGGUCAGACUAUCCGACCCGUCUUGAAACACGGACCAAGGAGUCUAACUAUGUGCGAGCGAGUCAUGGGGAUUCUACCGAAACCCAAAGGCCCAGUGAAAGUAAAGGGCCUGCUUCUCGUAGGCUGAGGUGGGAUCUCGUGCAUCGCGAUUUGCCUCGCGACGCACCAGUCGGCGCGUCCUAGUCUGUCUCUGUCAGUGGGACCGGCCGUCCUAUCAAGUCACUGUCAGUACGGCGUAAUAGGGGACACGUUGGCGAAAGAUGAUAGGUGAACACUAUUGCUUGCGCAGACAGCGAGAAAGUCAGUGGAAACAACACUGAUGGAAGGAAGCGAGCAGCAGCGUUUCUGGACGUCGCAAAUCGAUCGUCAAACGUGAUAGUAUAGGGGCGAAAGACUAAUCGAACCAUCUAGUAGCUGGUUCCCUCCGAAGUUUCCCUCAGAGAUAGCUGGCACUCGGGAAACAGUUUUUAUCCGGUAAAGCGGAAGAUGAUUAGAAUUAGGCAUUGGGGUCGAAACGACCUCGACCUAAUCUCAUCAAACUUUUAAUGGGUAUAAGAAUGCCUCGUCUCGCUUAAUUGGAGGCGCGGCUUCACCUCUCUAUAAACGUGAAUGUGAGUGCCCAGUGACGGCCAUUCUUUGGUAAGCCCAGAACUUGGCGCUGAUGGGAUGAACAAACGCGCGUUAAGGCGCCCAAUGCGGACGCUCAUGAGACACCACAAAAGGUGUUGUCCGAUAUGACAGCAGGACGGUGGCCAUUGCGAAGUCGGAACCCGCUAAGGAGAGUUGUGUAACAACUCACCUGCUCGAAUAACCAGCCCUUGAAAUGGGAUGGCGCUGGAGCGUCGGGUCCUUAUACGUUUGCCGUUGCGGGCGCGAAGCAGACAAAUAAUCUGUGUGGAUGUCCCAACGAGUAGGAGGGUCGCCGUGGGCUGUGAGCCGCAGAAGGUGUGCGGCGUGAGGCCGGCUUGGAGCCGCCACGGUGCGCAGAUCUUGGUGGUAGUAGCAAUUAUACUCAAAGUGAGAACCUUGGAGGACUGAAGUGGAGAAGGGUUCCAUCGUGAACAGCAGGUUUGAACUGGGUCAGGCGGUCCUAAGCGAUCAAUAUUGGUAACUCCGUACCUAGGACGAGGGUGACAACUAUCACUGAUAAUACUGCUGAAGUGUUAUAGCCCUUCCGGAUGCGAAAGGAAUCGCUGUUAAUUAUUCACGACCCUUACCGUGGAGAUCGCCCCUUUCGGGGGGAAGUGCGCGUAACGCAAACGACAACACAGAGACGUCGGCUGGAGCCCCGGGAAGAGUUCUUUUCUUUGUAAGGAGCGUACCCCCUGGAAUCGGCUUGUCCGGAGAUAGGGGGCGUGCUUCCGUAAAGCAAGCGCGGGUCUUGCGCGUGCCGGUGCACUCUAGUCGGCCUUGAAAAUCUGUGGAGGACAGUGUGAUUUUCACGGUAGGCCGUACCCAUAUCCGCAGCAGCGUCUCCUCAUAGAAGGUGAUAUCAGCCUCUUAGUCCUAGAACAAUGAUAGGUAAGCGGAAGUCGCAAAAUAAAGAUCCGUAACUAUCGGGAAAAGGAUUGGCUCUGAGGGGCUGGGUCGGAUGGGCUGGCGUAAGAAAGCUGUUUCCGGUUUUGUUGGAAGGACUGGGCGAGCUUUCGGGCUUUUACUCGGACCAUUAGCCGAGCACC